rnacentral:rRNA from 1 species
AUGUCGUUGAUAGUUCAGCUAAAAAGAAAAGCCACACGUGAAGAAAAUAAUGCGGCUGAGUUGAGUGACUGUAUGAUUGUCGCCACUGGAGUUACUGGCAAUCCGCUACUCACCCCAGUGUCCGGAAAAGCUGUUAAGAAUUUUAAAUCAAAGACUAAGAAAAAUAAAGCUGGGCCUCAGACACCUACGCCAAAUGUUGGCUCACCACUCAAUCCAUCAACUCCUGCUGGUACUUGCCGCAAUGACAGUUCGUUAGGUGAUGACAAUACUCUCCAUAUAUAUGAUUUUGUUUUAGGAUGA